UUUACAGUGAAUGAACGUAUUGCAGAUGUAUUAUUUUUUUGAGUGGGUGUUUGCUCCAAAUGAACUACUGGCUUACAUGGUACAGAGCCACAUUGAAAGUUCUAAAAAGUCACAUGUAGCUCAGGAGCUGCAAUUUGGCCACUAUGGUUAUUUAUCUCUAGUGGCCAAAUUGCAGUUUGCAAGCCAUCUGCAGUUCUUUGGUACUUUCAAUGUGGCUCUAUACCAGUGACAGAACUUAAAAUUUUUGAACUCCUACAAAAUAUUAUUUGGGCCCUACCACAAAAAAAAAAAAAAAAUUUUUAUCUAG
rnacentral:lncRNA from 1 species